UUGAACAAUACGUUUCAUGAGUCUUCCAAUAUAUUUUAUUUCCAUUUGUUAUUUAAUUAAUUAUUAACAGACUCCAUAUCUCCAUAAAAGCAACGCAAACAAAACAUAUUGUUUUACAAAGCUAAAAAACUAUAAAUGUUCUAUAGUUACCUGCUUAAUAGGUAUUUCUAAGGAAUGUAUGAAAUAAAUGGUAUGAAGCACUUUUGCAACUCCAUUUUAUUUCAGGUAUAUUGUUAAAAAGAAGCAGGAUUCUUUGUGGAACUUGAUAGAAGGUGCCCAUGAUGCAUGGUCGGGGUGGUUGUGCGUCUUGAUAGUGGGUGUCCUCACCGGAUGCGUGGCAGGUGUUAUAGACAUAGGUGCCAGUUGGAUGACGGAUCUCAAAUUUGGAAUUUGUCCUCAAGCAUUUUGGUUAAACCAAGAACAAUGUUGUUGGUCCACCAACGAAACUACAUUCGAUGUUUUAAAUUGUUCUCAAUGGUUGACUUGGUCGGAGGUAUUGGGUCAAGCUCGAGAAGGAGUUGGUCCAUACAUAAUAUCCUAUUUAUUUUACAUUGUUUGGGCGCUUCUAUUUGCUGCCCUUUCUGCCUCUUUGGUGAGAAUGUUUGCACCUUAUGCAUGUGGUUCUGGUAUACCCGAG